rnacentral:rRNA from 1 species
GCUGCAUUAUUUGACGUUAGCGACAGAAGAAGCACCGGCUAACUCCGUGCCAGCAGCCGCGGUAAUACGGAGGGUGCGAGCGUUAAUCGGAAUUACUGGGCGUAAAGCGCAUGCAGGUGGUUUGUUAAGUCAGAUGUGAAAGCCCGGGGCUCAACCUCGGAAUUGCAUUUGAAACUGGCAGACUAGAGUACUGUAGAGGGGGGUAGAAUUUCAGGUGUAGCGGUGAAAUGCGUAGAGAUCUGAAGGAAUACCGGUGGCGAAGGCGGCCCCCUGGACAGAUACUGACACUCAGAUGCGAAAG